CCUACGGGCGGCAGCAGUGAGGAAUAUUGGUCAAUGGCCGCAAGGCUGAACCAGCCAAGUCGCGUGAGGGCUGACGGUCCUAUGGAUUGUAAACUGCUUUUGUACAAGGGUAAACCUGAAUACGUGUAUUCAGCUGAAAGUACUGUACGAAUAAGGAUCGGCUAACUACGUGCCAGCCGCCGCGGUAAUACGGAGGAUCCAAGCGUUAUCCGGAUUUGUUGGGUUUAAAGGGUGCGUAGGCGGAUUGAUAAGUUAGAGGUGAAAUGUUCGAGCUUAACUCGGGAACUGCCGCUAAUACUGUUGAUCUAGAGAGUAGAUGCGGUAGGCGGAAUGUAGGGUGUAGCGGUGAAAUGCUUAGAGAUCAGACAGAACACCGAUUGCGAAGGCAGCUUACCAAUCUAUAUCUGACGUUGAGGCACGAAAGCGUGGGGAGCAAACAGGAUUAGAUACCCGGGUAGUC
rnacentral:rRNA from 1 species